rnacentral:lncRNA from 1 species
GAUUUGAACAGUUCAGAAGAAGAAUCUGCUCCUGUUAAAUUAAGCAGCUCUAAGAUUAAAGCAUCUUUAAAAGAUAUCUCUUCAUUUAAAGAGCAUAAUGAAUCCAUUGUUUCUUUUAAAGUAAAGAAAAGGAGAUCGUCAUGCCGUGAUGAACAAUCUAAUGAUUCUUCGUCCUCAUCUCCUAAAAUAAAGAAAAUAUUGACCUCUAAAUGUAACCCAGCAAAACAAAACCAAAUGAUAAAGAAUUCCAGUAUAUCACAUGAAAACUCCAGGAAAAAUUUAAGCGAAG